GACGAACGCUGGCGGCGUGCUUAACACAUGCAAGUCGAGCGGUAAGGCCUUUCGGGGUACACGCGCGGCCAACGGGUGAGUAACACGUGAGCACUCUGCCCUGCACUUUGGGAUAACCGCCGGAAAUGGUGGCUAAUACCGCAUAUGACUGCAUCUCGCACGGGGGGUGGCGGAAAGUUCUGGCGGUGCAGGAUGAGCUCUCGGCCUAUCAGCAUGUUGGUGGGGUAAUGGCUCACCAAGGCUUCGGCGAGUAGCCGGCCAGAGAGGGUGACCGGCCACACUGGGACUGAGACACGGCCCAGACUCACACGGGAGGCAGCAGUGGGGAAUAUUGGACAAUGGGCGAAAGCCUGAUCCAGCAACGCCGCGUGAGGGAUGACGGCCUUCGGGUUGUAAACCUCUUUCAGCGCAGACGAAGCGAAAGUGACGGUAUGCGCAGAAGAAGCACCGGCCAACUACGUGCCAGCAGCCGCAGUAACAC
rnacentral:rRNA from 1 species